CCUACGGGUGGCAGCAGUGAGGAAUAUUGGUCAAUGGGCGUAAGCCUGAACCAGCCAAGCCGCGUGAGGGAUGAAGGUUCUAUGGAUCGUAAACCUCUUUUAUAAGGGAAUAAAGUGUGGUACGUGUCUUCUUCUGUAUGUACCUUAUGAAUAAGGAUCGGCUAACUCCGUGCCAGCAGCCGCGGUAAUCCGGAGGAUCCGAGCGUUAUCCGGAUUUAUUGGGUUUAAGGGGUGCGUAGGCGGCCUUUUAAGUCAGCUGUGAAAGUCUGUGGCUCAACCAUAGAAUUGCCGUUGAGACUGGGGGGCUGGAGUAUGUGUGAGGCAGGCGGAAUGCGUGGUGUAGCGGUGAAAUGCUUAGAUAUCACGCAGAACCCCGAUUGCGAAGGCAGCCUGCCAAGCCAUGACUGACGCUGAGGCACGAAAGCGUGGGGAUCAAACAGGAUUAGAUACCCCAGUAGUC
rnacentral:rRNA from 1 species